rnacentral:rRNA from 1 species
UGCAGUCGAGCGGUAGCACAAGAGAGCUUGCUCUCUGGGUGACGAGCGGCGGACGGGUGAGUAAUGUCUGGGAAACUGCCUGAUGGAGGGGGAUAACUACUGGAAACGGUAGCUAAUACCGCAUAACGUCUUCGGACCAAAGUGGGGGACCUUCGGGCCUCACGCCAUCAGAUGUGCCCAGAUGGGAUUAGCUAGUAGGUGGGGUAAUGGCUCACCUAGGCGACGAUCCCUAGCUGGUCUGAGAGGAUGACCAGCCACACUGGAACUGAGACACGGUCCAGACUCCUACGGGAGGCAGCAGUGGGGAAUAUUGCACAAUGGGCGCAAGCCUGAUGCAGCCAUGCCGCGUGUGUGAAGAAGGCCUUCGGGUUGUAAAGCACUUUCAGCGAGGAGGAAGGGUAGUGUGUUAAUAGCACUUUGCAUUGACGUUACUCGCAGAAGAAGCACCGGCUAACUCCGUGCCAGCAGCCGCGGUAAUACGGAGGGUGCAAGCGUUAAUCGGAAUUACUGGGCGUAAAGCGCACGCAGGCGGUUUGUUAAGUCAGAUGUGAAAUCCCCGCGCUUA